AGAGUUUGAUCCUGGCUCAGGAUGAACGCUGGCGGUCUGCUUAACACAUGCAAGUCGAACGGAAUCUUUCGGGAUUUAGUGGCGGACGGGUGAGUAACGCGUGAGAAUCUGCCUUCAGGUUCGGGACAACAGUUGGAAACGGCUGCUAAUACCGGAUGUGCCGAGAGGUGAAAGCUUAAGUGCCUGGAGAUGAGCUCGCGUCUGAUUAGCUAGUAGGAGUGGUAACGGCACCCCUAGGCGACGAUCAGUAGCUGGUCUGAGAGGAUGAUCAGCCACACUGGGACUGAGACACGGCCCAGACUCCUACGGGAGGCAGCAGUGGGGAAUUUUCCGCAAUGGGCGCAAGCCUGACGGAGCAAGACCGCGUGAGGGAAGAAGGUCUGUGGAUUGUAAACCUCUUUUGAUCGGGAAGAAGACAGUGACGGUACCGAUCGAAUCAGCUCGAUCCCUU
rnacentral:rRNA from 1 species